rnacentral:rRNA from 1 species
CAGCCGCGGUAAUACGGAGGGUGCAAGCGUUAUCCGGAUUCACUGGGUUUAAAGGGUGCGUAGGUGGAUAGGUAAGUCCGUGGUGAAAUCUCCGAGCUUAACUCGGAAACUGCCGUGGAUACUAUUUAUCUUGAAUACCGUGGAGGUGAGCGGAAUAUGUCAUGUAGCGGUGAAAUGCUUAGAUAUGACAUAGAACACCGAUUGCGAAGGCAGCUCACUACACGCCUAUUGACACUGAGGCACGAAAGCGUGGGGAUCAAACAGGAUUAGAUACCCUGGUAGUCCACGCCCUAAACGAUGGAUACUCGACAUACGCGAUACACUGUGUGUGUCUGAGCGAAAGCAUUAA